GGCUAGCUUACCGUGAGCCUCACCUCCAAACGGCAAACGCUUAACAAAGCAAAGCCAUAAAAUCUGCAAAACCUAAACCCCAAAGCCUCCCCUUAUGUGAACCACAAGAGAGCCAAACCGCGAAAACAGUCAUUGCUCCUUUAGAUCGCCCCCCCUCUCUCUCGCUCUCUCUCCCGGUAAUCUUGUCUCGUAUUGAUUUCCAUUAUCUACACGGACCAGUAAUAGGGCUUUAGUCUUGUAUAUAUCACAUUAGUCGGGAAUGCAAGUAUUCUCUUCUUAUUCUUUAUUUUGAUCUGACUUGUUAAUUCAAUCUCUAACUUCCACUUUUGGGCUUUUAUUACGUUUUCUCUUCUACUUGUUACCUUUGUAUCCAAGGGCUUUUCAGGGUAGUGCCUAGAAUCAAGGUUAUAAGAGUUGGUUGUCGUUAUGUUUGAUAAAAGUUCUCAGUGAAAAGUAUUCAUACAGUAGUUCACUUCAAACUAUUAAUGUUUCUGGGUUUUUAUGUUGGCAAAUGGAUAUUGGAGAUUUUAUGAUAUUAAUGCGUGGGGUAUUGAGUUCGUUUUAUGGGUAUGUUUGAUAUUAAGGAAGAAGUCAGAACAUGCUUUCUCUGCGUCCUAUUCGCAGAUUCUGCCGCUCUGCUGCUGCCGCCAUUGCAUCAACUGAUAGUCGUGCUGCUGUAUCUAAUCACGUUUUGAAUCCGAAACGUUUGGAGGAACCUGCCCUUAUCAAGCUAAAAGCAGAGCGUGACCCCGAAAAGCUAUUUAACAUUUUCAAGGCCAAUGCUCAGAAUAGGCUUGUCAUUGAGAACCGAUUUGCAUUUGAAGACACUGUUUCUCGUUUAGCUGGUGCUCGACGGUUUGAUUACAUUGUGCAUUUGCUUGAGCACCAAAAGACUCUUCCACAAGGCAGGCGUGAAGGCUUCAUUGUGAGGAUUAUAAUGUUGUAUGGUAAGGCAGGGAUGACUAAGCAUGCUAUAAAUACCUUUUACGAUAUGCAUUUAUAUGGAUGUAGAAGGACAGCUAAAUCUUUCAAUGCUGCCCUUAAGGUUUUGACAGGGACCCGUGAUUUAGGAGCAAUUGAGGCAUUUCUUAAUGAGGUUCCUGAGAAGUUCGACAUUAUAUUGGAUAUUUUUUCAGUUAACAUUAUUAUUAAGGCUUUUUGUGAAAUGGGUAUUUUGGAUAAAGCAUAUUUGGUCAUGGUACAAAUGGAAAAGUUGGGGAUAACACCUGAUGUGAUUACAUACACAACACUUAUAUCAGCAUUUUAUAACAAUAAUCGAUGUGAAAUUGGUAAUGGCUUGUGGAAUCGUAUGGUGCGCAAGGGGUGCUUACCCAACCUUGCAACAUUUAAUGUUAGGAUUCAAUUUCUAGUUAAGAGAAGACAAUCUUGGCAAGCUAAUGAUGUGAUGCGUUUGAUGCAGAGAAUUGGGAUUGCACCAGAUGAGGUUACUUAUAAUUUGGUCAUCAAAGGGUUCUGUCAGGCUGGGUAUCUUGAGAUGGGCAAAAGGGUGUACUCUGCUUUGCAUGGGAAGGGGUAUAAACCCAAUGUUAAAAUUUAUCAAACCAUGGUUCAUUAUCUGUGUAAGGGUGGGGACUUUGAUUUGGCAUAUACCAUGUGUAAAGACUGCUUGAAAAGGAAUUGGUUUUUGAACGUCGAUACCAUUUAUGCACUGCUUGAGGGGCUAAAAAAGAACAGGCACCUUGGCAAGGCUAAGAUGAUUGUGACAUUAGCUCAAAGAAGAGUGCCUCCUUUUUCUUCAAAUCAAUUGAGUUCUUUCCACUCCAUAUUGUCUAGAAGUUGAUUCAGUUGAUGGAAAGACUUGGAUGAGUUUGAUUAUUGUAAUCUACCGCUUAACAAGACUUCUGAUUCUUUUCAAUUGAUUUUUGGUAGAUUGCAAAACUAAAUGGACAUCAAGUCUUACUGGUUAUAUCAGAUAAAUGGCACUUCCAUUUCUUCAAUUAAUCUAUUGUACAAACUCAAUAAAGUUAUGGUGACAAAGUUCUAAUGGAUGGUGCUGUGGUUCUUGUAAGUUGCCAAAUUCAUGCAAAAACACUUUCUAUUAAUUUCAAGUACAAAUAUAACGGCAUAAAUAUGUGUUUGAGCAUGUGGCAUAUGCAUUAAUUAUUGAGCAUCUUUUCCUUCAACCGUAAGAGUAUGCAACUAUGCAUUUGGUAUGCAUUCAAUUGUCUAAUUUCUUGUAAAUUGGUGUGCCAUUAGCAUUUUCAAUAUGGUAUGUUUAAUAUACUGGUUAAAUUUGAAGUUUUGGCUUUAUGAUACUAGAUGGGUUUAUAUGCUAUAAUGAUGUGGAUGAUGAUUUUAUAUGUGUUGUUUUGAUUUGAUGUUAGCUGAUUUCUAAGGUCAUGCAUGUCUCUAAAUUUCUUUUGUCAGCAUUAUUUAUGAAGAGCUUGAUGGCAACAGAAGGAAGUCAAUAAUCUCGUUGCUACAUUUUGCUUAAAUGCCAAUAUUGAAGGACAGAAGUCACAAAUGAACAUUGUUACGGCCAGAAAGUUAAGCUCAUUGCAGAAACGAGUCUGGAAUAAAGGGUACAAUUGCUGAAUCAAUGGUAGGGGCAACAGACUGGAAUUCCAUUAGUUGAACUGUUGGGCAACCUUAAACUGAAACUCCUGGUCCUUGUCUUAUUAGUGUGACAACUUGAUAUUGAACGAGUCUGACCUUAACAGAGUAACUUGUUGGCUAGUUGGAUGUGCAUGAGGUGGGAUACUUGUUGGAUGGAUUUUAGGCUUCUGAUCCUUGCAUAGCCACAACAUUGUUUAGGCACAUUAAUGCUUUUCAGGUGCCUGAACUGGGAUUUUGUUCCAAAUUGGGAUGAAUUUAGGGUGAUUGUUAUUGCAUUUUUUUGCUUUGGCUGGUAAAAGUGUAAUGUGCAAAGCUGAAAUGAUAUUGGCCUGCUAGAAUACAAAGCUCAUUUUCUGUAUGUGGCGUGAUUUUAAUUGAUGAAAUGGAG
rnacentral:misc_RNA from 1 species